rnacentral:rRNA from 1 species
CAGCAGAAGGGAAUCUUCGGCAAUGGGCGAAAGCCUGACCGAGCAACGCCGCGUGAGCGAUGAAGGCCUUCGGGUCGUAAAGCUCUGUUGUUAGAGAAGAACAAGUACGAGAGUAACUGCUCGUACCCUGCCGGUACCUAACCAGAAAGCCACGGCUAACUACGUG